AGAGUUUGAUCCUGGCUCAGGACGAACGCUGGAGGCGUGCUUAACACAUGCAAGUCGAACGAUGAAAUGGAGCUUGCUCCAUGGAUUAGUGGCGAACGGGUGAGUAUCACGUGAAUAACCUGCCCUUAAUUUUGGAAUAACCCAGGGAAACCUGAGCUAAUACCGAAUAAGUAAACCUGUGGCAUCACAUGGUUUUGGAAAGUUUUUCGAUUAAGGAUGGAUUCGCGGCCUAUCAGCUUGUUGGUGAGGUAACGGCUCACCAAGGCGACGACGGGUAGCCGGCCUGAGAGGGUGAACGGCCACACUGGGACUGAGACACGGCCCAGACUCCUACGGGAGGCAGCAGUGGGGAAUAUUGCGCAAUGGACGAAACUCUGACCCAGCGACGCCGCGUGCGGGAUGAAGGCCUUCGGGUUGUAAACCGCUUUCAGUAGGGAAGAAGCGAAAGUGACGGUACCUACAAAAGAAGCACCGGCUAACUAUGUGCCAGCAGCCGCGGUAAUACAUAGGGUGCAAGCGUUGUCCGGAAUUAUUGGGCGUAAAGAGCUCGUAGGUCGUUUGUUACGUCGGAUGUGAAAACCUGAGGCUCAACCUCAGGCCUGCAUUCGAUACGGGCAAACUAGAGUUUGGUAGGGGAGACUGGAAUUCCUGGUGUAGCGGUGGAAUGCGCAGAUAUCAGGAGGAACACCAAUGGCGAAGGCAGGUCUCUGGGCCAAUACUGACACUGAGGAGCGAAAGUCUGGGGAGCGAACAGGAUUAGAUACCCUGGUAGUCCAGACCGUAAACGGUGGGCACUAGUUGUGGGAACCUUCCACGGUUUCUGCGACGCAGCUAACGCAUUAAGUGCCCCGCCUGGGGAGUACGAUCGCAAGAUUAAAACUCAAAGGAAUUGACGGGGCCCCGCACAAGCAGCGGAGCAUGCGGCUCAAUUCGAUGCUACGCGAAGAACCUUACCUGGGUUAAAUCAUCGUGAAAAGCCACAGAGAUGUGGUGUCCGAAAGGGCGCGAUGAAGGUGGUGCAUGGCUGUCGUCAGCUCGUGUCGUGAGAUGUUGGGUUAAGUCCCGCAACGAGCGCAACCCUUGUCCUAUGUUGCCAGCAUUAAGUUGGGGACUCAUAGGAGACUGCCGGGGUCAACUCGGAGGAAGGUGGGGAUGACGUCAAGUCAUCAUGCCCCUUAUGUCCAGGGCUGCAAACACGCUACAAUGGCCGGUACAGAGGGCUGCGAGACCGCGAGGUUGAGCGAAUCCCAUAAAGCCGGUCUCAGUUCGGAUUGAAGGCUGCAACUCGCCUUCAUGAAGCUGGAGUUGCUAGUAAUCCCGGAUCAGCACGCCGGGGUGAAUACGUUCCCGGGUCUUGUACACACCGCCCGUCACACCAUGGGAGUGGGUUUUGCCAGAAGCAGUUAGCCUAACCGUAAGGGGGGCGAUUGCCACGGCAGGGUUCAUGACUGGGGUGAAGUCGUAACAAGGUAGCCGUA
rnacentral:rRNA from 1 species